UACAGAGGUCCCAAGCGUUGUUCGGAUUCACUGGGCGUAAAGGGUGCGUAGGUGGUGGGGUAAGUCGGAUGUGAAAGCUCGGAGCUCAACUCCGAAAUGGCAUUGGAAACUACCCUGCUAGAGGGUCGGAGGGGGGACUGGAAUUCUCGGUGUAGCAGUGAAAUGCGUAGAUAUCGGGAGGAACACCAGUGGCGAAGGCGGCGACCUGGGCCAAUACUGACGCUGAGGUGCGAAAGCGUGGGGAGCAAACAGG
rnacentral:rRNA from 1 species